rnacentral:rRNA from 1 species
UACGGAGGAUGCAAGCGUUAUCCGGAAUGAUUGGGCGUAAAGCGUCCGCAGGUGGCAAUGUAAGUCUGCUGUCAAAGCGUCUGGCUCAACCAGAUAAAGGCAGUGGAAACUACAUGGCUAGAGUGCGUUCGGGGCAGAGGGAAUUCCUGGUGUAGCGGUGAAAUGCGUAGAUAUCAGGAGGAACACCGGUGGCGAAAGCGCUCUGCUAGGCCGCAACUGACACUGAGGGACGAAAGCUAGGGGAGCGAAUGGG